rnacentral:rRNA from 1 species
CGAACGCUGGCGGCAGGCCUAAUACAUGCAAGUCGAACGGCUCUUCGGAGCAGUGGCGGACGGGUGAGUAACGCGUGGGAAUGUGCCCUUUGGUACGGAACAACACAGGGAAACUUGUGCUAAUACCGUAUGUGCCCUUCGGGGGAAAGAUUUAUCGCCAUUGGAGCAGCCCGCGUUGGAUUAGGUAGUUGGUGAGGUAAAGGCUCACCAAGCCUACGAUCCAUAGCUGGUCUGAGAGGAUGAUCAGCCACACUGGGACUGAGACACGGCCCAGACUCCUACGGGAGGCAGCAGUAGGGAAUCUUGCGCAAUGGGCGAAAGCCUGACGCAGCCAUGCCGCGUGAAUGAUGAAGGUCUUAGGAUUGUAAAAUUCUUUCACCGGGGAAGAUAAUGACGGUACCCGGAGAAGAAGCCCCGGCUAACUUCGUGCCAGCAGCCGCCGUAAAAC